GGGCUUGACAUCCCACGAACCUGCCUGAAAGGGCGGGGUGCCCGCAAGGGAGCGUGGAGACAGGUGGUGCAUGGCUGUCGUCAGCUCGUGUCGUGAGAUGUUGGGUUAAGUCCCGCAACGAGCGCAACCCUCACCCCUGGUUGCCACCGGGUAAAGCCGAGCACUCGAGGGGAACUGCCAGCGUCAAGCCGGAGGAAGGCGGGGAUGACGUCAAGUCAUCAUGCCCCUUACGUCCUGGGCUACACACGUGCUACAAUGGCCGGUACAAAGGGACGCGAGACCGCGAGGUGGAGCCAAUCCCAAAAAACUGGUCUAAGUUCAGAUUGCAGUCUGCAACUCGACUGCAUGAAGGAGGAAUCGCUAGUAAUCGCGCAUCAGCACGGCGCGGUGAAUACGUUCCCGGGCCUUGUACACACCGUCCGUCACACCACGAAAGCUGUCUGUACUCGAAGUCGCUGAG
rnacentral:rRNA from 1 species